AGAAUACCAGGAAGUAAAUAACAAACCAUGUUGGAAACGUAAUAAGUAGAAAAAAUAUAUGUAUUCUUUGCGCGAUAAAUCAUGCGUUUGAUCGAUUUUUUCCAUCGAUCUUUCAACUAGCGCGAUAUAUAUUACGUUAUACAAAGUACAUUGUGGAAGUUACGUAAAGAGUAUCGUCAAAGGGAACAUUUUUGUCGCCAACUACGCGGUAACUGUGAAAAUUGUAGUCACACGGUAAACGUCCCUAAGUCCAAUUGCAAUCAUCGAUCAGUAUUUUCAAACAAUGCGUUACAUUCAAGAAAAUAUUUGGUUUAACGACUACCACUUUGGAUAGUUUAAGUUACUUUGUUUCGAAUCUUUUGUUUCGUUAGAAUCAUCAUUCUUGCGACUGGUAAGAAUUUAAAUUCGUUCACGACUUCUUUUCUUCUUCUUCUUCUUCUUCUUCUUCUCAUUCUUAUUCCGAAUUCGAAGAAUAUUCGUCUUAUUGAACGGAAGAAAUCUUUCGUACAACUGGAGUUUUUUUUUCUUUUACGUAUCAACGCGACGCUACAUUUCUUAUUCUAUAAAUUCGUUUUUUGCGUUUCGAUUUUUGCCUUUCGUAAAUAUUUAGUAAUAAGAAAGAAGCGUCGUAGAAGUGGAUGUUGAUUUUGAAAUAAAUUGUGAAAAUUUCGAUAUUUCAGAGAAGCAGGAUAUUCCGUGACUCGAAGGAAGAGAAGAAAUUUGAAAGAAAAAUGAAAAAAUAAUCGCAUUACCUAUCGAUAAAAUGGUUAGUUGUUGCCACUUAAAAUCGUAUCGGAUAUCUAACAGAGUCGUCAUCGAGGGAGAAGAAGGUGACUUUUGAAGGUCGCGAAAUCAGAGUCUAAAGAGUUAUCACGCGAUAAUGUCGUAGUCUGCUUGACCGUCCAUAAUCUGUUUUUAGUGCAGUGGUAGUAAGAAUCGCGACGACAAUCCGCGAAUCGGUCGCUCUAUUGUAUCAUUAUUAUAAGAAUUUUUCUUUCAAACAGCAGCAUCAUAAUUUUCCAAUUAUCAAAUAAUAGAGACAAUGUUUGAAACGGAAAGAAGAAAUUUAUGAAACUGGAACGAAAAUUUGCAUCGUUAUUUUUAUUAGAGAUUUUUCGUUGUUGUUCCUGACACUCAUUCUUAUCCCAUUUCAAACACGAUCAGUUAAAGAAUGUCGAAGAAGCAAUGGUUGGUCCUGUUGAUGCUGUUCUUGACAUACUUGUUACUAGGUGCUUCCAUUUUCUACCAUAUCGAGAGCCGCUUAGAGAUCGACCGUAUUGAAAAAGACAAACAUGAACGCAUCAAAAUUAACGGUGAGCAUAAUGGAGCGUGUAAUUAAACAAACAACACCCAUAGUUUGAAAUUUGUAAAAUGCAGCCCAAAAAAAUGUUCGAUUCGAUAUAUGUACGCAUGUAUUCGAUACAUAUAUAGCGAUCUACGGACAAAUCACCAUUCAAAUAUAGUAAAAUCGAUGCGAAUAUCAAUAAAUACAUAUAAUCUAUGAUCUAUUAUAA